rnacentral:rRNA from 1 species
CUCGGAUAACCGUAGUAACACUAGAGCUAAUACGUGCGUAAAUCCCGACUUUUUGAAGGGACGUAUUUAUUAGAUUUAUGGCCAGCCGGGCUUGCCCGACCAGCGGUGAAUCAUGGUAACUUGACGGAUUGCAUGGCCUUUGUGCCGGCGACGUGUCAUUCAAGUUUCUGCCCCAUCAGGUUUCGACUGUAGUGUAUUGGACUACAGUGCCUAUAACGGGUAGCGGAGGAUUAGGGUUCGAUUCCGGAGAGGGAGCCUGAGAAACGGCUACCACAUCCAAGGAAGGCAGCAGGCGCGCAAAUUACCCAAUCCCAACUCAGGGAGGUAGUGACAAGAAAUAGCAAUGCGGGGCUUCAUGCUCUGCAAUUGGAAUGAGUACAAUUUAAAUCACUUAACGAGUAUCAAUUGGAGGGCAAGUCUGGUGCCAGCAGCCGCGGUAAUUCCAGCUCCAAUAGCGUAUAUGUAAGUUGUUGCGAUUAAAAAGCCCGUAGCUGAACCUCGGGCAACCCUGACGGUCCGCGUUUCGUGAGUACUGUCGUGGGUUGUCUUUCUGGCAAGACCGUAUCUCGGCGUUAACUCGCCGGGAACGGCGCUUGCCAAGGUUACUUUGAGUAAAAUAGAGUGUUCAAAGCAAGCUCGCGCUCUGAAUACACUAGCAUGGGAUAACACGACAUGACCGAUGGUCUAUCUUGUUGGCCUGUAGACCUGUUGGUAAUGGCUAAUAGGGACGGUCGGGGGCAUUCGUAUUUCGCUGUCAGAGGUGAAAUUCUUGGAUUUGCGAAAGACGAACUACUGCGAAAGCAUUUGCCAAGGACGCUUUCAUUAGUCAAGGACGAAA